GAACUAGUUGUUUGCGUUUUGAAAACGCAAUUGAGGUUUUAUCCUAUAGUUUU
rnacentral:tRNA from 1 species